UCGGAUGGAAACAAAUUUGCCUGGAAACUUUGAAACCACUACCUCGAACUGGCCGACGACCACGACCACGAACAUGAACAUGGACGACACAGAUUGGACGAACUGGACCACGGAUUGGACGACGAACUGAACGAGCUAGACGACGAACUGUUUGGAGGACGACGAUGGACGAAGCUGGUUGGGGGUUGAGGUUGACGACGAUGGAAGGGUCGUUUGGGCUUGGAGAUAAAUGUGAGGGCUGGAGGGUUUGCUGCUGGUUCAUGACGGGAAGAAGGGAGACGAUGCCAUAGAGGCUGGUCGACGGAGCUGCUGGAACUGGGGUGAUCGUUGGGGAUGACUGGCGGCAACCAUGGAUGUUGAUAGUGGUGUUGGGAUGGUGAACGACUAGAAGGAGGGGCUCAUUUGGAGCUGGUGAUUGGCUGGAAAGGGUGGUAGUUCAUGAAAGUUGAAGGCAACCAUGGAUGUAGAGCUUGGAGGUUUGUAGGGUUGAAGGAGAUAGGGUUUUGUUUGGAAAAGAUGGAGAGAAGGUGGCUGAUGGGUUUUCUAGGGUUUGGGUGUUUUAGG
rnacentral:lncRNA from 1 species